GAUGAACGCUGGCGGCGUGCCUAAUACAUGCAAGUCGAGCGAAUGGAUUAAGAGCUUGCUCUUAUGAAGUUAGCGGCGGACGGGUGAGUAACACGUGGGUAACCUGCCCAUAAGACUGGGAUAACUCCGGGAAACCGGGGCUAAUACCGGAUAACAUUUUGAACCGCAUGGUUCGAAAUUGAAAGGCGGCUUCGGCUGUCACUUAUGGAUGGACCCGCGUCGCAUUAGCUAGUUGGUGAGGUAACGGCUCACCAAGGCAACGAUGCGUAGCCGACCUGAGAGGGUGAUCGGUCACACUGGGACUGAGACACGGCCCAGACUCCUACGGGAGGCAGCAGUAGGGAAUCUUCUGCAAUGGACGAAAGUCUGACGGAGCAACGCCGCGUGAGUGAUGAAGGCUUUCGGGUCGUAAAACUCUGUUGUUAGGGAAGAACAAGUGCUAGUUGAAUAAGCUGGCACCUUGACGGUACCUAACCAGAAAGCCACGGCUAACUACGUGCCAGCAGCCGCCGUAA
rnacentral:rRNA from 1 species